rnacentral:rRNA from 1 species
AACGAACGCUGGCGGCAUGCCUAACACAUGCAAGUCGUGCGAGAAUUGGGAGCUUGCUCCUGAGGAAAGCGGCGCACGGGUGAGUAACGCGUGGAUAACGUACCCAAGGGUUGGGAAUAACCUGCCGCAAGGCGGGCUAAUGCCCAAUAAGCUCAAGAGGAGCCUGCUCCUUUUGCGAAAAGCUGGCCACGGCGCCCAUGGAUCGGUCCGCGUCCUAUCAGCGAGUUGGCGGGGUAAAGGACCACCAAGGCUACGACGGGUAACUGGUCUUAGAGGACGACCAGUUACACUGGAACUGAGACACGGUCCAGACUCCUACGGGAGGCAGCAGUGGGGAAUAUUGGACAAUGGGCGAAAGCCUGAUCCGGCCAUGCCGCGUGUGUGAAGAAGGUCUUCGGAUUGUAAAGCACUUUAAGUUGGGAGGAAGGGCAGUAAGUUAAUACCUUGCUGUUUUGACGUUACCGACAGAAUAAGCACCGGCUAACUCUGUGCCAGCAGCCGCCGUAA